UACAGAGGGGGCAAGCGUUGUUCGGAAUUACUGGGCGUAAAGGGCGCGUAGGCGGCCUGCUAAGUCGAACGUGAAAUCCCCGGGCUCAACCCGGGGAACUGCGUCCGAGACUGGCGGGCUCGAAUUCGGGAGAGGGAUGGCGGAAUUCCAGGUGUAGCGGUGAAAUGCGUAGAUAUCUGGAGGAACACCGGUGGCGAAGGCGGCAUCCUGGACCAAUAUUGACGCUGAGGAGCGAAAGCCAGGGGAGCAAAGCGGG
rnacentral:rRNA from 1 species